UCAUAAUUUAAGGUAACUACAACAAUGAGGAAAGAACAAAAUAUAAUGUUUUCGUGGAAUUGAAGAAAGAAUGCGACCUUGAGCUAAGGUCAUUUUAGCAGCUACUAGUAGUAAUAAGGCAUUACUUCUAAACUCAAAUAAUACAAAAGGAUUGUAUAAAAUUAAAUUAUCCUCUACUAGAAUUGCAGAAUUUGCUUUAAAGUGGUCGUGUGUGCCGAUUAGCCACCUUGCCACAAAGACGAGCGCCUCUUGGAAUUGGAUAUUCGUCUCUCAAUGAGGUUGAGUCUGUGUAAACUCUCAUGUAUAGUUGUUGACCGAGGUACUGUCGUGCCCAGAAUUCAGUCCUCAGGUUCCACAUUCCUACAUUGUCCAAUGCAAUGUAUAUCGCGGUCCAUGACUUGGGAUAGACCUGAGUUGUGCAACGUGAAACUGCAUCACGAAGGUUGUAUCCGUUCCUACUAGCUUGAGUCCACUGGCCUCCAUCCAUCCCUACAACCCAAAAAGAGUAGCCAUCAAGAUGCCAGCUCUGGACG
rnacentral:misc_RNA from 1 species